rnacentral:lncRNA from 1 species
UCCCAUGCUUUCCUGUUCUGCUGGAAAAUGUCAGCUUUCUGGGGGCAAGUGGGUGUCUGGAGGGCUGUCCUGCACCUGGGGCCUGUCAGUCCUUCCAGCCUGAUGUCAGGGCUGGGAUGGGAGCCUGACGUCUGGGCCCCAUGUCCAGAAGCUGAAGAGUUUGGGUCUCAUCAUCCAAAAGGCAUCUCCAGGGCAGCGAUUCAAUUUUGCUCCUUUCCCUCCUGUGCACCAAAAGCAUCUCCCAGGCGGUCCUGCAGCGCUCCCUUUGCCUCUUCUGAGAUGCCUCCUGAGAAAGCAAGAUGCAACGGUUGGUCUUUGGGAAGUGCAUCUAUGGCUUGGAGAAGAAUUGUGCUGCACCACCGCAUCUCCAACCCGCAUCCCAGAGAUAACGGGGAGCAUGGAGCUGGUGGUGGCCCCUUCAGGCGCCUGGAGUAA